rnacentral:lncRNA from 1 species
CACUGCUCUGGUGCAGGCCUCCCUCUUUCUAUGACCAUGCGCACAGUGGAGACCUAUUGCCAGGUAUGAUAUCACGGUUACGUAACUGGGUUACGUAAUGUACUUGAAUGCGUAUGCGUCGUAAUUUGAAAGAUGAGGCGCAGCCAUCUUGUUUUCAUGGCCGUCAUUUUGUCAACCUGUUUACUUGUGGGGGAACCCCGUCUACAUAAUUAUGGAAAAUGGAUUCUGGGGGAAGAACAAGCGGAGAUCCCUCUGAGAAAUACGGCCCAGAAAACAGUGCAGACUACAAACCUGAGCGGCUGGAGAAAAAGGCUUUGGCCAAGAACCAGACCCGCGGAGACUCCUGGGAAAUGGAGUCCAACGGCCGGAGCAAGUGCGCAUGACCGGAAGUGCCGUUGUCAGGAGCAGCCCCCCCCCCCCCCCUGGCUGUAGAGUAGGGGUUUCGCAUUUUGCAGCGAGCUUGUCUGUUUUCCGUUCGUCGGUGGCAGGUGGCCGGUUACCGGUCACCUGUCGUUAUCUUGGAAGCCAGCAGUGGCUUUCUUGCCCGAGUUCUGCAGGCUCGGGACAGGCCUCUAGAGUUGACGCAGCCGGGCAGCGACGCGACGUCCGGGGAACCGCUGGGAGUCGGUGGCGCGAAGUGGUACCCGCAUGCUGGAGGAAGGAGCACCGCCUUCUCCAGAUGCUGCCCUUCCCCUAGAGCAAAGCACCAGAGAGGAAGGAAUGGCUACUGGUCUCCUUACAGCUGGGCCUCCUGUAAGUUGGAAACGGACUCGCUAUAAGACCACCUUUUUAUUUUUUCUAAUAUUAAUAGUUUGAGGUUUUCCUAUCCCAAUUAUAAAAGUAGUCCACACUCACUACAGACUCCUGGAAAAUGUAGAAAACAAGUCACCCCUUAAGCCGAGAGGUAUUACACCGUAACAUUUUGAGUGUGGCCUUUGUUUUGUCCUGAAGUGGGUUGGUUCUACUCUGUAACCUUCCUAUUUCCAAGUAGAAGUUUAUAAACAUUCUCCCAUUUCAGAAAGGGCAUUCCAUAAAAUCAUUUGAAUAUUCUAGUGAGAUUAGCAACUGUCUGCUCCCCUUUAUUCUUUACUUGUUUAGGUAAGACUUUUCACUUUUAAAACGGACUCUUCAGGUCCCUCAACAACUCUAUGCUUUAAAAUUCACUUUAUCUCUUGAGAUGAAAACAGCUUUUUUCAUUCUUUAUUUACAUUGAAUAUUUGGGGC